GUGCCUCAUGCUGCGUACAGGCCGGUCGGAGUCUGGGGGAAAAUCGUGGGUUCGCUGUGCGCCAUCGCCGGCGUGCUCACUAUCGCCCUCCCCGUGCCCGUCAUCGUCUCCAAC
rfam:Bombyx mori DNA, contig: Bm_scaf72_contig31285, strain: p50T/Dazao, build 2, whole genome shotgun sequence.